rnacentral:sRNA from 1 species
UCUUUUGAAAAGCUGCUUAAGGUGGUC